AAGGACUUCAGAAAUAUUCCGAAACGGCAUAUUCAAGAAGUGGUGUUAAUCAGAUGUGGAUACUGAAAAAUUCAAAAGAGUUAUUGGUGAAUUUACAAUCUCAAUCAUUAAAACAUUGUACCAACAUUAAAACCUUUGAUUUUUCAACUCUUUAUACCACUGUUCCACAUACUAAACUUAAAGCUCGACUGAAAGAACUCGUCAGCUUAUGUUUCUUUAACAAAAAGGGCACUAGACGUUUUAAAUAUCUAGUU
rnacentral:lncRNA from 1 species